rnacentral:rRNA from 1 species
AUGCGGCGUGCUAACCUUGCUGAACUCGAGCGCGUCGGACUUGAAGCGGACGCGGUCGCCCUUGCCGCACUUGACGUCGGCGGGCAUGUCGCGGACCACGCCGACGCCCGGCACGGCGGCCGGCGCCGUCUCGCGGGAGCUCCUGGCGACCACGCAGCCGCCGGAGUGCUUGCAGAACUUGAGCCUGAGGUCGCACGUCAUGUCGAACCCCAGCCCCAGGCACCGCACCGCCUUCUCCGCCGCUGCCGCCACGGCCAUCGGUCGGUCGGCACGGCAGGUUCUCGCCUCCCGGCUCCUACGGCCGCUGCUCCGCUACGCUCCCCGCCAUGA